rnacentral:rRNA from 1 species
AGACAGAGGGGGCAAGCGUUGCUCGGAAUCACUGGGCGUAAAGGGCGCGUAGGCGGGAGGGCAAGUCAGUCGUGAAAUCCUUCGGCUCAACCGAAGAACGUCGGCUGAUACUGCCUUUCUUGAGGGAUGCAGAGGAGACUGGAAUUCCCGGUGUAGCGGUGAAAUGUGUAGAGAUCGGGAGGAACACCGGUGGCGAAGGCGGGUCUCUGGGCAUCUCCUGACGCUGAGGCGCGAAAGCGUGGGGAGCAAACGGGA